UACGUAGGAGGCAAGCGUUGUCCGGAAUUACUGGGCGUAAAGCGCGUGUAGGUGGUGGGACAAGUCUGCUGUGAAAGCGCCUGGCUUAACCGGGCGAGGUCGGCGGAAACUGUCCGACUCGAGGACGGUAGGGGGGGGUGGAAUUCCCGGUGUAGUGGUGAAAUGCGUAGAGAUCGGGAGGAACACCUGUGGCGAAGGCGGCCCCCUGGGCCGGCCCUGACACUGAGACGCGAAAGCGUGGGGAGCGAACAGG
rnacentral:rRNA from 1 species